rnacentral:rRNA from 1 species
AUUGAACGCUGGCGGAAUGCUUUACACAUGCAAGUCGAACGGCAGCACGGACUUCGGACUGGUGGCGAGUGGCGAACGGGUGAGUAAUGUAUCGGAACGUGCCCAGUCGUGGGGGAUAACGUAGUGAAAAUUACGCUAAUACCGCAUACGAUCUAUGGAUGAAAGCGGGGGAUCGCAAGACCUCGCGCGAUUGGAGCGGCCGAUGUCAAAUUAGGGAGUUGGUGGGGUAAAGGCCCACCAAGCCAACGAUCUGUAGCUGGUCUGAGAGGACGACCAGCCACACUGGGACUGAGACACGGUCCAGACUCCUACGGGAGGCAGCAGUGGGGAAUUUUGGACAAUGGGCGAAAGCCUGAUCCAGCCAUUCCGCGUGCAGGAUGAAGGCCCUCGGGUUGUAAACUGCUUUUGUACAGAACGAAAAGGUUUCUACUAAUACUAGGAGCUCAUGACGGUACUGUAAGAAUAAGCACCGGCUAACUACGUGCCAGCAGCCGCCGUAA